GAUGAACGCUAGCUACAGGCCUAACACAUGCAAGUCGAGGGACCGGCGCACGGGUGAGUAACACGUAUCCAACCUGCCCUUUACUCGGGGAUAGCCUUUCGAAAGAAAGAUUAAUACCCGAUAUAAAGGAUGGGGAUGCGUUCCAUUAGGUUGUUGGUGAGGUACCGGCUCACCAAGACUUCGAUGGAUAGGGGUUCUGAGAGGAAGGUCCCCCGCAUUUGAGCUACGGCACGGUCCACACUGCUACGGGAGGCAGCAGUAAGGAAUAUUAGUCAAUGAGGGCUAGCCUAAACCAGCCAAGUAGCGUGAAGGAGUAAUGCUUAUGAGUCGUAAAUUUCUUUUAUAGAAGAAUAGGUAUUAGAUGAAUAAGGAUCGGCUAACUCCGUGCCAGCAGCCGCGGUAAUAC
rnacentral:rRNA from 1 species